UACGGGGGGGCAAGCGUUGUUCGGAAUUACUGGGCGUAAAGGGCUCGUAGGCGGCCAACUAAGUCAGACGUGAAAUCCCUCGGCUUAACCGGGGAACUGCGUCUGAUACUGGAUGGCUUGAGUUUGGGAGAGGGAUGCGGAAUUCCAGGUGUAGCGGUGAAAUGCGUAGAUAUCUGGAGGAACACCGGUGGCGAAGGCGGCAUCCUGGACCAACACUGACGCUGAGUGAGCGAAAGCCAGGGAGCAAACGGG
rnacentral:rRNA from 1 species